CUCACACACACGCAUACACACUCUUACACACACUCUUACACACACUCUUACACACACUCGCCCACACUCAUACACACUCAUUAUUUGAAGCAAGGCCCGAGGAAGAAGCGCCCACGCAGACAGGUACGGGGGCCGCAACAACGACCGAGCCUGGCGCUGAGAUUCAGGCAGAUGAUUGAUCAUCACAAAGGGCCGGGUGAAGCCUGGCGUCUGGUGGAGUUGAACUGCAGGAGGGGUCAGGAAUGACAUGGCAGCUGCCCGGCUGCCUGCAUCACACCCCUGUCCCAGCUCGGGUUCACACAGAGGACAAACAGGAGACGAGCUGAAGUUCGACUGACGUUAAAAAUGACAAAUAUACUGUAUAUAUA